rnacentral:lncRNA from 1 species
CCGCUCUGUGCUUUGGAGACCCCCUGCCUCUGUCUCUGUACAGGGGAGCUUCUUCCUUUGUUCUUCCCACUUCUAUCUUGCCUACUAAACUCUGGGCUCCUUAAAACCGCUCCACGUAUGUCCGUGUCAUUUCGUCUAAGCCGGCAUGGGGACCAAGAACCUUGGUGUUCCUCCACUCAUCGGAGCCGUGUCAGUAAGUUUUUGUUGAAAGCCAGAUGCCAGGUAAAAGGAACUCAGUGCAUUUGAAGCAAUGCAGUGGGAAGGGAAGGUAGAGAGAGGGGAAAACACAUUCUUCUAUAAUCAAUACACGGGAUGUGGACUGAUUCAAGGUUCCCUUGGUCACAGUGAUUGUUCUUGGCUGAAAUUGUUAAAACUGGAAAGAAGAUGUUUUCUUCUGGCAUUUCUAAGCUGGAACUCUUGGUGGUUACAACCUGAAGAGGGGUUGUUUCAAAAUGAACCACUUCAGAGCAAAGCAGGGCUGAAAGCUGGAGAGAGUAAAGGGAAAGCAUUCUGAUUUCAUCCUACAUCUGGAUCCAUUCAUAUCCAAUGUUAGAACGCACCUUUUCAGCCAAGGGUGAUGGCAAGUGCUCAGGGGGCUGAAGCAGGAGAAUCACUUGAGCUCAGGAAUUUGAGGCUGCAGUAAGCCAGAUGGAACCACUGCACUCCAGUCUGGGUGACAGAGAGAGACACAGUCUAAAACAAAAAGAAUAACCUGUAUCUUGAGAUUGUGGGUUAUUAUAAAAUUAAAUAUUUUGUUCAAAACUUCACUUGGUAGCAAGUGAUCAGGCAAGCUGAAUUAUUUUUAAAAAGAUGAAAACUAAAGAAAAUAAAAUUCUGAAAAAUGUUGGCAUGAUUUUUGUGAAAAUGUAAUAAAUCCUUUGCAAUUUU